GGAAAUAUUUCGUCGUAAAAACAAAGAACAAUAUUCGUCGUAAAAACCACGUAAACUUUCCAAGUAAGGAGGACACUACAUUUCCUCGUAAAUACCUCGCAACCAUUUCCUCGUAAAUACCUCGCAACCGUUUUCUCGUAAAUACCUCGCAACUCUUUCCUCGUAAAUUCAACGUAAAUAUUUCCACGUAAAAUACUCGUUACACUUUCCUCGUAGUGUUGACGUAAAUAUUUCGCUGGUUACUUCCUCGUAACUUUUCGA
rnacentral:lncRNA from 1 species